GAAACAAAGCACAGAGCAAGGCUGAAGGAGCAAGACCUCCACAGUGCAGCUAAACAGCCAAAUGAGUCUCCCGCAAGUCAGGAAAACUGGAUAAAAAGAGGCCUAAAUGUGAGCAAGAGCUAUCAUGUUUGGCUUCAAGUAUGUAAGUCCAAUCUGGUAACAGACCCUUUCCCAUUCAUUGUUAGCAUAUUCACUGGGAAGCAGCAUGGGCCAGGAACUAAGGGCAACAAUGAGCUGUGUGACCUUAGGCAAAUUACUUAACUUCUCUGUGCUUCAUUGUUCUAGUUAUAAAAUGAAAUAAAUUAAAUGAAAACUAUAUAAUGAAUUAUAUAAUAUAAUGAGGUAUAUAAUAUACAAUGAAAACUAUAUAAAUGAAAAAUAUAUAGUACAAAUAUAUAAUAUAUAAUGAAACAUAUAUAAUGAAAAUAUAUACACGAAAAAUAUAAUAUAAAUGAAAAAGUAUUCAUUAAAAGAAAAUAAAUUAUGGCCCAAAUGUUUUUGAAAAACUAUACCUUAAAAACCCCUAUUUUGUUUAGAAUGUACAUUCCUGGUUCAAAAUGGUCGCGUGAGAAACCUAAGAAACAGGCUGCUUUCAAGCAUUUAUUUCAUACUUCAGAACUCAAACAUAUUUAUAAUCCAACCCUCUUAUACAGUCACUUAUCCAUGUCCUCAUGUUUACAAAAUAUAGCUAUUCAGAGGCACUUUGUGUUUUCAAAGUUUCAACCUCUGACUAUAUAUCUUUCAUUUGAAAAUUAAGGUAGAUUUAAAAAUUCAACUUAGUUUACAAUUCUGUCCUUUGCAUUUAAGACCUAAAACAGGGUUGUGGCCAUUAAACUGGUUCUUUCAACACAGCUAUGUUAACUACAUUAAAAGAGCCAUGUCAGCAAGUGGCAGUGUUAAUUACCAGCUUGCCCAGCCACCACUGCUUUGCUCGACAGUUUUACUAUGUUUAAAAAUAAAAGGUUCAGAUGUGGUGUGACAAAGCUCUCCUGACAAAAAGGAAGCAAAUACGGAGGCAAGAGAGGGGCCAGUUGGGUCAUGCCACAGUCUUCUGUGGGAUUUUGUCAAUAUAUUAGCAGGAAAGGAGCAGGAGCUGGUAGGGGCAACUGGGAUGGAUAGAGGAGCUGCUGAAGACUCUCUGGGAUGACAGGAAAUAGUACAAAUUCCAGACCUUCUUUCACCUCCUAUUUGUGUAUUUCAACCUACAGAAUCAACUACCCAGAUAACUACAGAAAUUCACACAUGAUAAAAAUGCAAUAUAAAAUCUCUACUUACACUAAAGAACUUACUCAUGUAACCAAAUACCAC
rnacentral:lncRNA from 10 species